UUUUAAUAAUUUUUAAUAUUUUAAUUAAUUUAUUAGUUUAAUUUAUAAAUUAAAUUAUUUAAUUGGGGUGAUUUUAAAAUUUAUUAAACUUUUAUUUAUAUUUACAUUGAUUUAUGAUUAAAUAAAAAAUUUGAAUUAUUUUUAUUAUCAAUAAAUUAAAU
rnacentral:rRNA from 1 species